rnacentral:rRNA from 1 species
UGAGUUAUCACAACUCCCAACCCAUGUGAACUUACCUUCUGUUGCCUCGGUAGGGCGCACCCCGCGAGGGGCUGCUGGCCUGCCGGUGGACUACUAAACUCUUGUUUUUUCGUGGAACUCUGAGUAACAAAACAUAAUAAUCAAAACUUUCAACAACGGAUCUCUUGGUUCUGGCAUCGAUGAAGAACGCAGCGAAAUGCGAUAAGUAAUGUGAAUUGCAGAAUUCAGUGAAUCAUCGAAUCUUUGAACGCACAUUGCGCCUAUUAGUAUUCUAGUAGGCAUGCCUGUUCGAGCGUCAUUUCAACCCUCAAGCCCUGGUUGCUUGGUGUUGGGAGCCUGCCGUAAGACGCAGCUCCCCAAAGCUAGCUGGCAGAGCUAGGGUGUGCUCUAAGCGUAGUAGAAUCUCCUUCUCGCUUCGGACGCCGCCCCGGCCCUCUCGCCAUUAAAGCCCCAAACUUUUUUCUAUGGUUGACCUCGGAUCAGGUAGGAAUACCCGCUGAACUUAAGCAUAUCAAUAAGCGGAGGAAAAGAAACCAACAGGGAUUGCCCUAGUAACGGCGAGUGAAGCGGCAACAGCUCAAAUUUGAAAGCUGGCCUUCUGGCCCGCAUUGUAAUUUGCAGAGGAUGCUUUUGGUGCGGUACCUUCCGAGUUCCUUGGAACAGGACGCCUUAGAGGGUGAGAGCCCCGUACGGUUGGAUGCCUAGCCUCUGUAAAGCUCCUUCGACGAGUCGAGUAGUUUGGGAAUGCUGCUCUAAAUGGGAGGUAAAUUUCUUCUAAAGCUAAAUAUUGGCCAGAGACCGAUAGCGCACAAGUAGAGUGAUCGAAAGAUGAAAAGCACUUUGAAAAGAGGGUUAAAUAGCACGUGAAAUUGUUGAAAGGGAAGGAUUUAUCACCAGACCUUUGCCUGGCGGAUCAUCCGGUGUUCUCACCGGUGCACUUCGCCAGGUCGAGGCCAGCAUCGGUUUCGGCCGGGGGAUAAAGGCUUCGGGAACGUGACUCCCUCCGGGGAGUGUUAUAGCCC